rnacentral:tRNA from 1 species
UCCCCGGUUGGUCUGUCGGCAGGGCCCGCCUGACUUUGAAUCAGGAUGAGCGACGCAGGUUCGACUCCUGCCCGGGGAGCUC